AAAGCUAAGAAGUAAGCAAGCUAUUCUGAGUUGGGUUUUGAAAACAGCGUCAGAGUGAGCGCUCUGCGUUCUUGUUUAGUUUUCCGAAGUAGCUACAGAGUGAGCGCUCUCACCGCUCUGCCCUCUGUCGGCCUAUCUUUGCAGUUUCUCCGUCUUCUUGACAGCUACGUGAACCGUUAGGAUCACAAACAGCCAAGACGGACAGAGUCGAGUUUAUGCCAGUUUAUGCUGAUGCUAAUGUGUUUAUCAUACGCUUCUGCCUUGGAGAUUAUUUGUCUUUUUACAAAAAACAAGAUAUUGGCCCAACAGUCAAGACUCAAGUAAAGACAGGAAAAGCAA